AGUUCAGUAGGUCGAUAUCGUUCCACGAAUACCGUGCGGAAAUCAAAUUUGGGAAGCAAUUUCGUAUUGAUUUCAGUCUGUCGCCUGAAUCGACAGGCGGGUUAAACAAUGAUGAUCAGAGUCGUUGCAUGUCAUCAGCAUUCGUUAACAAAAUUUUGCAUCACGGUUGUCUGGCCCUGUCGAUAAUUCGACGUUCAACCGUAAACUGUCGAUACUCGCGUAAGAAGUCUCUGGGGAAUUUUUUUUCCUCGUUAAUUGUGUCCAUGUUUCCACGAGGACAGACAGUAAUAAUUGGUAAACGAAGAGACUAGGCCGGAAUUAAGGUCGUACGUUUGCAUUUGAAGUUUUCGGGUCGUCGUUCCUCUUGUCAGGAGAAUCUAUACUGAUCGACGAAACUGGGACAAGGUUGUAUUUAUCGGUCACCCGUUAUACACGAUACGCCGAGAUUCUUCGGUUCCAUUCUGGUCGCAAAUUAUCCGCUGUGACUGGCGUUAUAAUUGCGGGCACCUCUCACGAAUUCCUUUAACACUAGGUUUACAUUUAUCGUACAGUUUAUUCUCUGUUUCUAGGAAGAUUCAAGAAGUUUCUAGAAGAAUCUUCAGGGUUAAAAGUACCAUUAGGAAGCAUAAUCACAUAAUUGAAUCAAUUAAAAUCCAAACAUUUGUAUAUUGAGGAACGAAGCUAUUUUAUUCUAAUAUACAAAGUUCAAUAUUGAUUAGUGUCAAAUCUAGUGGUGACUGAGUCACCUGAAUAAAGGGUUAAAAGUAUCAUUAGGAAGCAUAAUCACAUAAUUGAAUCAAUUAAAAUCCAAACAUCUGUACAUUGAGGAACGAAGCUAUUUUAUUCUAUUAUACAAAGUUCAAUAUUAAAUAGUGUCAAAUCUAGUGGUGACUGUCACCUGAAUGCAAAGGGGUAAAAGUAUCAUUAGGAAGCAUAAUCUCAUAAUUGGAUCAAUUAAAAUCCAAACAUUUGCCAAGUAAUGUUCAUAAAAUUCAUGAGUCACGUUGACUGAUUGUAAAUCUAGUGUUAAUACGUUUCCUGGAGAUUCCAAUUUUAUUGGAAGAUAAAAUUAUUCCUUGAAACAGAAGAAAUUAUUGUUAUUAUUGAGAAGGAAUUAUUCGUAUCACUGAGUGAAAUGUUCUAGAAUUAAAUAAUCUGUACUCCCCCGGUUCUAGUAACUUUUAGGAAACUAAUUUCAGAUCGGCGUGCUUGGAAAUAGGAAGUUACACGGAAAACCAUAGGGAGAGAUUAAUUCUACGUUAGCAACGACGCAAAGAAGGAAUGUUAUAAAUAUAAAAUCUCUCGUCGCGAACCGAGCGAGCGCACGAUGCACCGAUUCCAUGUUACCAUGGACGAGCCGCUUCGCGAUGUGAUUUGAAUGAGAAGAACGUGUUCGACCGGUGCAUGUAAGGGAAAAGAAAAUGCAAUGAGGUCAGAGACACUCUAACAUCAGCAAUUAAGGAUUAAGGCAGAUUCUCGUCACCGAUUCGUCGGCGUUUCAAAAACGACCGGCAAUGAGUCAUACCGAAUUAUCGCUCCGUCGUAACCCAAUUAAAAAUCAUUCCAUUUAAAAAGGUACUUGACACAGUAACGGGUUCAUCGAAUGUUGCUAUUUUUACACUCGCCGAGAGAACGGUAGGAUCUCUCUCACUGGAUCGUAUCAGAACGAGUGAAGAGAGUGUCGCACACCUCUGCGCAGGGAGCAAGAAGAUUUUACGACUCCGCAAACCGAGCGCUUCACGCGCUAGCUUAAUCGGCCCAGCGAGAACCGCGGUAAAUACUAGAGAAUCUCGUCUCUCCGGACUUAAUAGAGAGACAAACGCGUCUCGUGACGGAUAAUUGCGUUCCUCCACGCCGGGCCGGAUCGGUAAUUAUUGAAUUAUGUCCCCUAACCGAUUCUAAUCUGUCAGACCCGUGAACAUUCGACUUAGCAGCCGCCUUUCAUCGAGCCAGGGAGUGUCCUUCCUACCUUUGCCCCCUCGCCCGACAAUUGUAAGAGAGUCGAAGGUCAACAGUAUGCUAAUUCAUUAGAAAAAUAAGAAAUUCAAAUUCGAUUGAACCUCCUGCCGCGACGGGUGUCUCGGCACCUUUCUAAUUACCGAAUCAAUGUCAAUAACCGGCGAACUCUUCAAGGAUCCAUCCUUGAGGCCCACGGAGACCUGAAAAUCCUCCAACGACAUUCACCGUCAGGAUGAUCCGAAGACAUUACAAUUCAUACUAGCAACAUGAACACUCCAUGGACCAGCCAGCAUCAUCCUUCUCCUUAUCAGUUAAUGUCCAACAUCCAAGACCAUUGAUAACGUUCCUGGAAGAUUAGAGGGACAUCCAAUAGCACAGCGUUCUGGAGGACAGACAAUUCAAAGAAUUGGACAUCAUACUAGAAACAUGAACACUCCAUGGACCAGCCACCAACAUGCUUAUCACAAGUUAAUCUCGACCAGCAUCCAAGACCAUUGAUAACGUUCCUGGAAGAUUCGAGGGACAUCCAAUAGCACAGCGUUCUGGAGGACAGAGGGCACACAGAAUUUUCCGCUGGAAAACGAGGAGGGCCGAAGGCCGAAAGAGGGU